rnacentral:tRNA from 1 species
GGGAUGGUAGCUCAGCGGUAGUAGCACUUGCCUUUUAAGCAAGGGGUCCCGGGUUCAAAUCCCGGCCAUCCUA